rnacentral:rRNA from 1 species
GAUGAACGCUGGCGGCGUGCCUAAUGCAUGCAAGUCGAGCGACGCAUAUCGGAGGGGUAACCCACUGGUAUGACGGAGCGGCGAACGGGUGAGUAACACGUGAGUAACCUGCCCCACAGAUCGGGAUAGCCCAGGGAAACCUGGAUUAAUACCGGAUAUUCUCUUCUAACUUCAUGGUCUGAAGAGGAAAUGCCUUUGUGCUGUGGGAUGGACUCGCGGCUUAUCAGCUAGUUGGUGGGGUAACGGCCUACCAAGGCGUCGACGAGUAGCUGGUCUGAGAGGACGAUCAGCCACACUGGGACUGAGACACGGCCCAGACUCCUACGGGUGGCUG